CUAAAAACCUAGCCCAACAAACAUGAAUUUUACUAAAUUAACUAANNCCCUCUUAACAAACCAUUUUAACAUUCUAGUAAAGGAGAUUGAAAAAACUUAUUUGGAGCUAUAAAAACAGUACCGCAAGGGAACGGUGAAAUAUUAUGAAAAACUUCAAGCAGCAAAAAGUAAAGAUUACCUCUUGUACCUUUCGCAUCAUGGUUUAACUAGUCUAACCAAGCAAAACGUAUUUAAGUUUGACUUCCCGAAACUAAGUGAGCUACUUCAGGGCAGCUAGAAGAGCAAACCCGUCUCUGUAGCAAAAGAGUGGGACGACCCUCAAGUAGUGGUGACAGACCUAACGAACUUAGUGAUAGCUGGUUACUCAAGAAACGGAUUUAAGUCCAACCUGAAAGUUUUAUAACCUAAGUUCAUCAAAACAAUCACCUAGCUUUCAGCGUAAUUCAAAUAAGGUACAGCCUAUUUGAAACAGGAUACAACCUAGCCUAAUGGAUAAGAUCAGCCUAACAUACAAUCAAGUGGGCCUAAAAGCAGCCACCUUUAAUACAGCGUCAAAGCUAAAUUGUAACCGAGCCCAAUUACUUAACCCAUAUCUUAAUCCCCUGCCAAUACUGAGUAAUUCUAUAAUAUUAUAGAAAUUUUUAUGUUAAAACUAGUAACAAGAAGAAGAUUCUUCUCUUAAAUGUACGUAUAAAUCAGAAAAGACAAGCUACUGAUACUUAACACCUCUGAGCAUAAA
rnacentral:rRNA from 1 species